ACACCGACAUAAUGGACAGGACUACUCAGCUCAUCGAAAGGACAAUUCCAACCACAUCCAAUCAGGUCUCAAAUUUCUGAGGUAAGGGUCCACGGAAAGAGAAUUGAUGUCUGCCAGUGGAAAAGAAUGAUGCUAAUGAAGAUACAAAUGGAAGUUCAGAACCACCAUAAAGCAUGCUAGCAAAUAACAACAAAGACCGGGGGUAGGCAGCAAGGAACAGGCAGGGCAGCUGCUGGUGUGACUGUCAGCAGCGGAAGCGGGACCUACCAUCCCCUACUGUACAGAUGAAGCUCUCAGUGUUGACCUCAGUAGGGCCUUUGCAAAUAAGGCAGGGCAGAAAGAUGUCAUCUGCUGUCACUGAACAGAGAUUCCUAGGAGGAAGGACAAGAAAAAAAAAAAACAGCAAGAAGUCAUUUGAAACCUUCUGGAUUUUUCUCUAGUAUCAACAGAUGCAGCUUUUAAGUAUAAAAGCAGUGUCCAGUGACUACAGGGAAUUCACCACAGGGAAUUUGAAGAUGGAUAGAGUUAGUCAUUCAGCUAAUGUUUAUAUGUGAUGUGUCCGUGUUGUUCAAGCACCAAUGACCUGCUAAUAAACAGAGCAUUGUUUCAUCACACAUUUCACUGUGGGGAGUAGAAGAUGAACACACAAAUGUUUAACAUGCCAGAAUUAACGUGCUUGCAUCGGUUGCUACUGUCAGCCUGAUAGGAGAGACACAAGCCUCUGGGCGGGUGGGAGGGAUUCUCUAUACCAGGCUAGUUCAGGUGGGAAGACAUACUAUAAAUAUGGGGAGCAACAGCCUUUGGGCUGGGUCCUGGAAUGUGUAAAGACCUGCAUCUCCCACCCUUCGACAUAGCUGUAGCCAUUUUGUUUCCAUGCCUGCCUGCUAUUUUGUAUUGUUGCUGUAAUAUGCCUGCCAGUCAUCGAUACAGAAAAAUAACUCAGAGCAGGGCCAUGCUGACCACAUACCCUGUCAUGUCCUGUAUGUUCUGAGGUUUGUUAAUCUUAAGAAAUUUGACAACCAUACGCUUCACUUAAGACUGAUCAGAAAAAAAGGUCAAUUAGAACUGUUCUGUCUAGCUAGCCAAAAAAGUUUGAGUCAAGAGCUGACCACUAGGCAGCACUUCCUGUACCUGCACGGGAGCUCAUUGUGGUUUUUAUCACUUAUAAGCCAGCUCGGAGAAAUGUUCAAGCUUGUAGCUUCAGCCCCUGAAUUCUGAGCUAUGGCCCUGAUUGAUCGGUCUUAGGGUGUACAGUCUAUAAACCAUCCCUGUUUCGCUAAGAUGUCUGUGGGGUUUGUGGGGUGACUCCUGGACCCCCAACAGAAUGAUUUAAAUCGAGAAAGCAAGCUGAGAACUUGCAAGCAUCCAUCUCCCUAUUUCCUGACUAUGCAUACAUACAUGAGAUCAGGUGCCUCACACCCUUGCUGCUGUGAUUUUCCCACCAUGAUGCUGCACUCAACUGUGAAUGGAAAUGAACCUUUCUCUCU
rnacentral:lncRNA from 1 species